CCCUCUCGUUGUGUUUACCUCGGGGUUCUCCCCUCCCUUCUUGACGCGUUCCUGCGCUGAGCCCCUGAUUUUGGGGGCCCCGCCAUGUGAAUGCCACGUCUUGCGGGCUCAACAGUCCAUCAUCGAUGGCGACGAAAUUGAGAUUGAACCAUUUGUUUUGUUGAAAUGUAACUUGGCUAACUUCUAUUUCUUUUUAUUCUUCUCUUUCCCUCGAAUAGGUCCACCUUCAGACCGGUCAGUGCGUAAGUAACGAAAUCUAUCGACAUCGAACGGCAUAAAAACAACUAGAGACUGACGAUUUUUUUUUCUCUCUCGACAGGGUAACCAAAUCGGUGCUGCUUUCUGGCAGACCAUCUCUGGCGAGCACGGGCUCGACAGCAAUGGUGUGUACAAUGGCACUUCGGAGCUCCAGCUCGAGCGUAUGAGCGUCUACUUCAAUGAGGUGUGUAACGAUUACAGACACAAACAAAACUCCUGUGCACAUUUCCUAUAUCAUAUGGUUGCGGAGAACGAUGAGAUAAAACGGAGUGCAUGCGAGCAUUUCUACCAAAUACUAAACUGUGCAAUAGGCCUCUGGCAACAAGUAUGUUCCUCGCGCUGUCCUGGUCGAUCUCGAGCCCGGUACCAUGGAUGCCGUUCGUGCUGGUCCUUUCGGUCAGCUUUCCGCCCCGACAACUUCGUUUNNNNNNNNNNNNNNNNNNNNNNNNNNNNNNNNNNNNNNNNNNNNNNNNNNNNNNNNNNNNNNNNNNNNAAUGUCCUUGACGUUGUCCGUCGCGAGGCUGAGGGCUGUGACUGCCUCCAGGGUUUCCAGAUUACCCACUCGCUCGGUGGUGGUACCGGUGCUGGUAUGGGUACCUUGUUGAUCUCCAAGAUCCGCGAGGAGUUCCCCGACCGAAUGAUGGCCACCUUCUCCGUCGUUCCUUCCCCCAAGGUCUCGGACACCGUCGUCGAGCCCUACAAUGCCACUCUGUCCGUCCACCAGCUCGUUGAGAACUCGGACGAGACUUUCUGUAUCGACAACGAGGCUUUGUACGAUAUCUGCAUGCGCACGCUGAAGCUGUCCAACCCCUCUUACGGUGACCUGAACUACCUGGUCUCUGCCGUCAUGUCUGGCGUCACCACCUGCCUGCGUUUCCCUGGUCAGCUGAACUCUGACCUGCGUAAGCUGGCCGUCAACAUGGUUCCUUUCCCUCGUCUGCACUUCUUCAUGGUCGGCUUCGCUCCCCUGACCAGCCGUGGUGCCCACUCCUUCCGCGCUGUUAGCGUUCCUGAGCUCACUCAGCAAAUGUUUGACCCCAAGAACAUGAUGGCUGCUUCCGAUUUCCGAAACGGUCGCUACCUGACAUGCUCUGCCAUCUUGUGAGUGCAAUCAUGUUGAAAAUAACAUGUGAUUAUCAAAAUGCUAUAGUGCCACAAUAACUGACAUGACUGGAAUUCACAGCCGUGGCAAGGUCGCUAUGAAGGAGGUCGAGGACCAGAUGCUUAACGUACAGAAC
rnacentral:misc_RNA from 1 species